CCUACGGGGGGCUGCAGUGGGGAAUAUUGGACAAUGGGGGGAACCCUGAUCCAGCCAUGCCGCGUGUGUGAAGAAGGCCCUCGGGUGGUAAAGCACUUUCAGUGAGGAAGAACGCCUGGUGGUUAAUACCCAUCAGGAAAGACAUCACUCACAGAAGAAGCACCGGCUAACUCCGUGCCAGCAGCCGCGGUAAUACGGAGGGUGCGAGCGUUAAUCGGAAUUACUGGGCGUAAAGCGCGCGUAGGUGGCUUGAUAAGCCGGUUGUGAAAGCCCCGGGCUCAACCUGGGAACGGCAUCCGGAACUGUCAAGCUAGAGUGCAGGAGAGGAAGGUAGAAUUCCCGGUGUAGCGGUGAAAUGCGUAGAGAUCGGGAGGAAUACCAGUGGCGAAGGCGGCCUUCUGGACUGACACUGACACUGAGGUGCGAAAGCGUGGGUAGCAAACAGGAUUAGAUACCCCGGUAGUC
rnacentral:rRNA from 1 species